rnacentral:rRNA from 1 species
AUGAGCGCCAUGGCGGCCGCCCUCCACCGCCGCCCCCGCUCCCUCCCGCCUCUGGAAGACGAGGAUCUGCUCUCCGAGAUCCUCCUCCGCCUCCCUCCGCAGCCGUCCUCCCUCCCCCGCGCCUCCGCCGUCUGCAAGCGCUGGCGCCGCCUCGUCUCCGACCGCGGCUUCCUCCGCCGCUACCGCCGACACCACCGCCGCAGCCCUCCUCUCCUCGGUUUCUUCCGCAACGACCUGCGAGGCAUCUCCUACACGCCUACCAUGGAGGCCCCCGAUCGUAUCCCCGCCGGACGCUUCUCCUUGCAUCUGUACGACAGCCGCGCCAGAAUCCUCAGCUGCCGCCAUGGACUCCUGCUCGUCGCCCGCUCAUCGCGAACCAAGUUCCUGGUGUGGAACCCCGUCACCCGCGACCAGCACAGGCUUGUCGCGCCACCGGCGUUCGACACCUACGCAGCUCAGGUGGACGGGGCGGUGCUCCGGGCUGCUGGAGACGCCCACCACUUCCAGGUGGUAUUGGUAAGCUACCAACAGAAACAAGUGAUCGCCUGCAUUUACUCCUCGGAGACUGGUGUAUGGAGUGAUCUCAUGCCAACAUCAGUUCAACGCACGGCCGUGGGUUGUCAAGGCAUGCCUGCUGUGUUGAUCGGGGAUUCCCUUUACUUGCUGCUCUCUGACGGUGGUAUAACUGUAAUUCUUGAGGUUGAUUUGAAUAGGCAGAGCCUAGCUUUGAUACAGGUGCCACUGUGUAUGCUUGCCUAUGGUCAUUAUAGGGACUUUGUGACAGUUAUGCGAGCAGAGGGUGGCGGGCUGGGUUUACUCUGCAAGAAAGGCUUCACCGCCAAAUUAUGGAAGAGGAAUGCUGGUUGUGAUGGUGUUGCUUCGUGGGUGCUGGGAAGAACUAUUAGACUGGACAAGCUACUUUCCCUGAAUUUAGAGAUAAAGAUACAGAGGAUAGCGUAUGCCGAGGAAAAUAAUGUGGCUUUCUUGCGGACAGUUUCCGGUAUCUUCAUGGUCCAGCUUGAGUCAUUGCAGUUCAGUAAACUUCCUGAAAACAACAACUGUGCUAUCUGUUAUCCAUUAGAAAGUGUCUAUGCUGCAGAAACAAGCAUUGGUGGUGGACAUGGUGGAGCUGAUCAAGAUAUGCUAGUAUGA